AUGAGGAUACCUGCACCCCUCCAUGCCAGGCCCUGGGUCCAAACCAGGGAAGCCAGAGCUCAACAAGACAUCACUUUUGUUCCCUGGGAGCUCAGCGUUGGCCAGGGACAAGUCCAGUCACACGCAGUUGAGCAGCACUGUGGCAGAGGGAUUUCAUCUCCCUCAGAAGCUGGGCCAGCAAACUUGGGUAUGAUCCUUCUGCUGGUCACUGCAUCUACAGCAUCACUGCACAGAAGGAAGGGGCGGGGGAGCCCACAACAACUAAGCAAGGCUCCCCAACUGCUCUGCUCUCCUGGGGUUCCUGCUCAGAGGAAGAACAGCCCCCAGCAUGAAAGUAUUCAGCAGCUUGGAUGGUCUGAGUCCUGGUGAAGCUAGAUGCAUGGAGCCAGAGCUUCAAUCCUGUCAUCCCCAGCAUCUUCUCUUCUCCAUGUAAAGGGCUAACUCACCAGUCCCCAGUUUUCAUCCAUCUGUCCAGCUACAAGGGUCUGCUAGCUCUAGUUCACAGACUAACAGAUGCUGGGCUGUCUGUCCCACGGGUAGAAGAAAAAGCAAACCAUGACAGUUCCAAGCAAAGGUCAGUGAGACUCCAUGCCUAUGGGAUGAACCACUGGUUUGGUGGAUUUGUGAGGAUCUGAGCCCAUUGGCAGCAGACCUAUCUUGCCCAUUCGAAAACAACAGCCUCUCAUUAAAGUCAGACAUUCAUCAGACAGAAGAGUCUGUGAAAUGCUGCGGGUCUCAGAACCCCCAAAUAACCAGGAUUCCAGGGAGCCCAGAUUUCCACUGAGCUGGAAAAGGAGCAGUUCCACAUCUUUGGCAGUUUCCCAAACAGACAGAAAGAAGAAUGAAAGAUUCAAUGCUUAUAAAACCAACUCCCUAAACAUACACCUAGAAUAAAGACCAAAAAGGCUGUAAAAUGUCAUCCGUGAUCUUGUUUGAUGUGAUAAAGUUAGAGGUGAAUUUUAUUUUCACUUCUAACAAUUUUUUCAAAUUUUCUAAAAUAGAUAUUUAUGACCUUUAUAAUCUUCCACAAAAAAUUUUAAAAAACACCAAGAAAGCAAAAACAAACAAGUGUUCUUAGAAGCACACAUAGGGUCUGAUACUGUAGGUUCUCUAUAGACUUUUGAAAAAUCCAAAACAGCUCCUUUUUUUUUUUUUUUUGGUACUGGGGAUUGAACUUGGGUCCUUGCGCUUUCGGGGUAGGUGGCAGAACCACUGAGCUAAAUCCCCGGCCCAGCAGCUCCCUUUUUUCACUGUUUUUUGUUUUUUUUUUGAGACAGGGUCUUACUAUGUAGCCCAGGUUGACUUUGAACUCGUGGUGAUCCUCCUACUUCAGCUUCCCAAGUGCUGGGGUUACUGGUGUGGGCCACCGUGCCUGGCUUAGCAGCUCUUUCUAGUCACUUACUGGGUAGUCUAUGGCAAAGGGAAAAUUCUUCAGAUUGAGGUAGUGGUUCACAAAAUCCAAACUCUCACAGGUCAUACACUUGCCAAAGACAUAGAGUUGGGUGCCCUACAGAGACCAAGAAUCUAAUCCAGGGAGGACCAUGCCUACUAGGAUCCCAGUGGAUUUAGCAAGAGCAGCCACCCAGUGGAGAACAAAGGUUCCACACUAAUGCAGGCCUUUCCAGUUCAUGGGUGGCUAGGUUAGUGUCACCAUUAAAUGGCCAAAGGAAAAAUCUGUUAGAACAAAUGUCAGUGGGAAAACAUCAGGUGCUUAACAUUCUGCAUGCAGAGUUUAAACAUACAAAAGGGGCUAAAAGAGGUCAAAAAGGAAAAGUACCAUCGCCCUACCUUCUUUCCCUGCUGUGCCCUUAACAGCAGAGCCACUAGCAGCUGCUGGGAGAAUAAAGUGUGCUCCCAAGGCAUAAAAGCCAGGGGAAGAGACUUUCAGUCACUCAUUAAGUCACCUGUUUGCAGCCUGGGUUAGAGUCCAUACCCCAGCACCAAUUCCAAAAGCUCACUCUCACAAACAGCCUAUCUACCUGCAUGCAAAUAUCAGCCUUCGAAAUCAAUUACCCCAGAUCUGAGUUGGUAGCAAUACAAAUAUCCAUUUUCCCCUCUGCUCAUUCACACUGUGCACCUAAACCAAGCAGGUGAUAGGAUCUUGAAAACCACUGAAGAGGAGUGGGUUUCCUUUCAUUUCCAACACCAUUGCUGGAAAUUAGAUGAGACCAUUCUAUGGGGCUUUAACAACACAUCAUGUUGGUCAAGUCCCUCUCGCUGGCAGAGAAUUGGAUCAUUAAGAUGUUGAUGCUUCCCCUAAAAGCUUCUCUCCCCUCCCCUUUCCGCCCCCUCCCCCCAUUC
rnacentral:lncRNA from 1 species